AGUGAGACUGAUAUAAUUAGUUGUUAAGGUGAGAAUGGCGAGUUCAGUGCUGAACAUUUUAGUAGGGCUGUGGCUCAUCACUUGUUUUGCAGCUGCUAAAAAUGAGCCUUAUGUGCCAGCCUCCAUGUGUUCGGAGACGCAUUUGCAGAUGCAGGUAAUAAUGAUUACAUAGCAAACUCUACGCUACGUGCAAACUUCAUUCCAUAUGGCGUCUCGUAUUUCCCCUACCCAACUGGUCGUUUUACAAAUGGCCGCACCAUUGUCGAUUUCCUCGCCUCUUGCCUUGGGCUCCCAUUCCCUCCUCCUUAUCUCCAACCAGGGGCGAAUUUUGCAAGUGGGGUAAAUUUCGCAUCAUCAGGUAGCGGUUUGCUCGACAUAACAUGGGCCACCAAUCAGAUUAUUAUGAGUAUGAGCCAACAAGUAUCUCUAUUCGAACAAUAUUCUGAUAAACUAACUGAAGCUGAACAAGGGAACCUAGGCAAC